GUCCCGGGCCGGGGUGGUGGACCCGGGCCUUCCCGGCCCGGGUCCGGGGUUCAGUCCUCGUCUGCGGCG
rnacentral:tRNA from 1 species